AACGAACGCUGGCGGCAUGCCUAACACAUGCAAGUCGAACGAGACCUCCGGGUCUAGUGGCGCACGGGUGCGUAACGCGUGGGAACCUGCCCUUAGGCUCGGAAUAAUUCCCCGAAAGGGGUGCUAACACCGGAUAAUGUCUUCGGACCAAAGAUUUAUCGCCCUUGGAUGGGCCCGCGUUGGAUUAGCUUGUUGGUAGGGUAAAAGCCUACCAAGGCGACGAUCCAUAGCUGGUCUGAGAGGAUGAUCAGCCACACUGGGACUGAGACACGGCCCAGACUCCUACGGGAGGCAGCAGUGGGGAAUAUUGGACAAUGGGCGAAGGCCUGAUGCAGCAAUGCCGCGUGAGUGAUGAAGGCCUUAGGGUUGUAAAGCUCUUUUACCCGGGAUGAUAAUGACGGUACCGGGAGAAUAAGCACCGGCUAACUCCGUG
rnacentral:rRNA from 1 species